UUGCGCCCCAAGCCGUUAGGUCGAGGGCACGUCUGCCUGGGUGUCA
rnacentral:rRNA from 1 species